CCAGCAGUCAACCCGUUCGUCUAAACCCUUACUGGGUUCCCGACGACGUCGCCUUCGCCGGCCUAGGCCUUUCAGGCAGCGGCUUCUUCUUUCUUUCCCUUUACUUUUUUCUUCUUUUCUUCUCUUCCCCUUCCUUCUGCCACCGUUCUUCUUCUCGGAGUGCAAGGUCUCCUUCACUCUAAAAACUGUAUAAAAACCUCGAAAUCUAUCCUAUCCGUAUCACCCACCUCUCUCUCUCAAAAAAAGAAAACAUAUUUGUCUUUCUCUCUAAUAAUCCAUUGAAUCAGGUCCCAACAUGGAGCCCACUUGUGAUGAAGGCUGAGCCAACUGCUGCACUAGUUGCUGCAUAUCAGUUUGGGAUGUCUGUUCGUUUGAUGAGAAAUAUUUGCUUCUGGAAGGAAAUCCUGGCAUUGCCAGUUUUAGAGAAGCUUGCUCUUGAUGACCUUUUGUAUGGUAAAAUUUUGCCUCAUGUUCGUAAUAUUACUUCAGAUGUUCAAUAUGCUGUCAAAAGAACAGAACGCAUUGUAGCUUCUCUAUCAGGGUGUGGGCAGGCACAAAUGCCACACAAGAUUCCAGAAACCUGUGCAGUCACAAGUUGCAGCCGCUGGUGGAUUGUGUGUUGUUGUUAGGAAAAACAUUGGAGAGAAGGCUUGCAUAUGGUGUGACUGAAAGUGAGACUGGUGGACUAGCUCGUCGGUUGAAGAAAAUGUUGGUUGAGCGCAAUGAGUAUGACAGUGCUAGGGAUAUAGCAAGGAGGUUCCAUCUGAAGGAAGCAUUUUGAAUUAUGCUAUGAAGCGUGUGAUAUGAUUAACCUGACUGAGUGAAGCUAGUUACAGGUGUCCAUGAAUUGAAGGUAUUGGGUAUACUUGAAUAAUACGGCAAGAGAUCACCAUUGCAAAUUUAAAUUUGGAGGGUAGCCUUCGAGAGCAUAGGUUGGGCUGUAACUAGGAUGCUCUCUCUAUGGACUCUAGUUCUUUUCCCUCCCCACUUUUAACUUCUAAUUCCCUCUUUUUCCAUUAUAACCAUUUAUCUUAGACCUCUGAUGUUAAGUUGGAAGUCUGUGCUCUCUCAUAUUUUCGAUAGUCUUCUAAGUUCUAACUGAAAGCUCUUUUGAGUUCUUUGAAAAACCUUGUAAAAUUUUGGGAUGCAAUAUAAUUCUUUUGCUAGUGUUUCUGGUCCA